GAUGAACGCUGGCGGCGUGCCUAAUACAUGCAAGUCGAACGCACAGCGAAAGGUGCUUGCACCUUUCACGUGAGUGGCGAACGGGUGAGUAACACGUGGACAACCUGCCUCAAGGCUGGGGAUAACAUUUGGAAACAGAUGCUAAUACCGAAUAAAACUUAGUGUCGCAUGACACAAAGUUAAAAGGCGCUUCGGCGUCACCUAGAGAUGGAUCCGCGGUGCAUUAGUUAGUUGGUGGGGUAAAGGCCUACCAAGACAAUGAUGCAUAGCCGAGUUGAGAGACUGAUCGGCCACAUUGGGACUGAGACACGGCCCAAACUCCUACGGGAGGCUGCAGUAGGGAAUCUUCCACAAUGGGCGAAAGCCUGAUGGAGCAACGCCGCGUGUGUGAUGAAGGCUUUCGGGUCGUAAAGCACUGUUGUAUGGGAAGAACAGCUAGAAUAGGAAAUGAUUUUAGUUUGACGGUACCAUACCAGAAAGGGACGGCUAAAUACGUG
rnacentral:rRNA from 1 species